CUACCUUUAAUUAUUCUUUGUUGACUAAUUAAAAGUGCAUUCAGUAUUUUAGAGACUUCACCUUGUGUUAAUUAAAGAAAAUCCUCCAGCGGCUUCCAAAAUUAAAUCCGUUGUUGCUUCAAUUAGCGGCAUGCCAAUUAAUCAUCACUAGUUCUAAGUGUAAUUAAGAAAUUCAGUUACUCAGUUGCACUUAGAUGAUUAUGAGAAAAGUCCUAAAUUAAGUAGGUGAUCAGUCUAAUUGAUUUAGAAAAAUUCCUUGAACGAAAAAGCAAGCAACUCAAGAAUGCCAAAUCCAAAUUUAAACAAAAUAAAUCCACAAAUUCCUUGUGCUAGGUUUCAUAAGUGUCUAACUAAGCUUGGAUAUUCUAACCACUCAUAGCAAUUGAAACGAAACAAGAAUCAAUUAUAAUCAGCAUAAAUUACAAACUGAGUCUUUGGAGAAGAAAAUUCCUCCAAUCGUCGAGCUUCCCUUCUUCCGAUUAGCUGAAAUUCUGGACUUCUACUUCAAUUGCUUGUUCGGCUUUUGCUGAUUCAAUUUGAGGCUUUCCCUUUGCUCGGGUGCCACGCAUCUCUACUGCUGUAUUUUUCUCCAUUUUCUGACUCCUUUUUCAGCUGCUGGUCAUCUCUAUUUAUGGGAUAAUAACCUCCAACAAUUCAAAAUUAAAUUUGAUCUUAUCCCCAUUUUCCUAGCUGAACCCAUCGCAUAAAAUUAGCUCCAGCCUACUAGAGUUUUAUUUUCAAUUAAACUCUUCAAGGCUGAGUUAAUUCCUUGAUUCAAUUGGAGUCGGCCACCG
rnacentral:lncRNA from 1 species